rnacentral:tRNA from 1 species
ACCCCCUUAGUAUAUAGUACAAGUGACUUCCACUCACCAGGUCUUAGGUUUCACCUAGGAGGGGGUA